AUGUCCAAAACCUCUAUUAUACCAUAUUCAUCACCCUAAACUUUAUCCCACCAACAAAAUUAUCAUAAUAAUUAAUUUCUUCUAACAAUGUUCUUCAUCCGUAACCCAUCAUCUUUUCUUAAAAAAAAAAUAAAAAUUCUCACGUAUAAUCGCCAUUAAAGCUGCGGUAAUGUUUCAAACUUCUGUUCAUUUUCCUGCUAUUAUCUAUUGGUUCUACUUGUAACUUAUCACCUUUAUUUGAUUGCAGUGUCCAACAAAUAUUGUCCCUUUCUUUGGUGACCUUUAUGUUUCAAAAAAUGGUAAUAUGAAGGUAUAUUGUAAAAUUGACAUUGAUUUGAUGAAGGUGGAGGAUGAAUUGUGUUAUUUGGGAAUGAGUGUUUUUUUUUUUUAAUUAAAAUUUUUGGGUCAUUUCUGACCCCUUUUAUUGAUACUCAAAACACUCCAGUCCAAAAUAAAAGUGACCCGGGUCAAUCCUUGCAUAAGAAUUGAAAAGUUUCCUAAAAAUGAACAAUAGUACUCUUUCCUAAACGUUAGAAACGAUUUUCAUCACUUUUUCCUUGUCCUUUGCACCGCCUCUCAUCCAUGUCCAUCUCAGCUUCCAAUCGAAAGUGUUUGAAUCCUCAGUUGGUGCUGGUAUUGUUGAAAUUAUUUUUCAGAUCUUGAGGAGUAUUUCCUGUCAUGAAGGGAGGUUUUAUCUACCCCUGUUUUUUGUGAACGUUUUUGAUAAUUAGAGCAUCUAGUUAGACAUAGCACAGAAGAGUAGUUAUUGAAAUUGCUCAAACAUUUGCUGUGUCUCUGCUUUGUUUUCGCAAACUUGUGAAAUUUGGGAGCCCCUAGAUUUCUCAUCUCCUUAAUCGAACAAAUCGACUGUUUGUUCUGAAUGUAAUUAUGCAUGUGACUGAAUCUGUCUUGUUCUGAUUCUCAGAUUGGGAAUUUGUGUUUUAUCCA